ACCAAUUCUAGCCCAUAAACUUACUCACACUAAAUUACCAAUUUAUUAUAAAUAAAACAUUUACCUACCAUUAAAAGUAUAGGAGAUAGAAAUUUUAACAUGGCGCUAUAGAGACAGUACCGUAAGGGAACGAUGAAAGAAAAAAAUCAAAGUACAAAAAAGCAAAGAUUAUCCCUUGUACCUUUUGCAUAAUGAGUUAACUAGUAAAAACUUAACAAAAUGAAUUUUAGCUAAGUACCCCGAAACCAGACGAGCUACUUAUGAACAAUUUAUCAAGAACUAACUCAUCUAUGUAGCAAAAUAGUGAGAAGAUUUGUAAGUAGAGGUGAAACGCCUAACGAGCCUGGUGAUAGCUGGUUGUCCAGAAAAUGAAUGUUAGUUCAGCUUUAAAAAUACCGAAAAUACAAAUAAAUUAUGAUGUAUUUUUAAAAGUUAGUCUAAAAGGGUACAGCCUUUUGGAAAUGGAUACAACCUUAAUUAGAGAGUAAGAUUUAAUAUAUGCCAUAGUAGGCUUAAAAGCAGCCACCAAUUAAGAAAGCGUUAAAGCUCAACAACAAAACAAUAUUAAUUUCAACAACAAAUAAUUAACUCCUAACCUAAUACNNNNNNNNNNNNNNNNNNNNNNNNNNNNNNNNNNNNNUAUGAGUAACAAGAAAUAUUUCUCCCUGCAUAAGUUUAAGUCAGNNNNNNNNNNNNNNNNNNNNNNNNNNNNNNNNNNNNNNNNNGCCCACCCAUAAAUAACUUAUUUAUUAUACUGUUAAUCCAACACAGGAGUGCACUUAAGGAAAGAUUAAAAGAAGUAAAAGGAACUCGGCAAACACCAAACCCCGCCUGUUUACCAAAAACAUCACCUCUAGCAUUACUAGUAUUAGAGGCACUGCCUGCCCAGUGACAACCGUUAAACGGCCGCGGUAUCCUGACCGUGCAAAGGUAGCAUAAUCACUUGUUCUCUAAAUAAGGACUUGUAUGAAUGGCCACACGAGGGUUUUACUGUCUCUUACUUCUAAUCAGUGAAAUUGACCUUCCCGUGAAGAGGCGGGAAUACAUUAAUAAGACGAGAAGACCCUAUGGAGCUUUAACUACUUAGCCCAAAGAAACAUAAUCUAUUUCUAAGGAAACAACAACAUUCUUUAUGGGUUAACAGCUUUGGUUGGGGUGACCUCGGAGAAUAAAAAAUCCUCCGAGCGAUUUUAAAGACUAGACCCACAAGUCAAAUCAUACAAUCGCUUAUUGAUCCAAAAAAAUUGAUCAACGGAACAAGUUACCCUAGGGAUAACAGCGCAAUCCUAUUCAAGAGUCCAUAUCGACAAUAGGGUUUACGACCUCGAUGUUGGAUCAGGACAUCCUGAUGGUGCAACCGCUGUCAAAGGUUCGUUUGUUCAACGAUUAAAGUCCUACGUGAUCUGAGUUCAGACCGGAGUAAUCCAGGUCGGUUUCUAUCUAUUAUGUAUUUCUCCUAGUACGAAAGGACCAGAGAAAUAAGGCCAACUUCAAACAAGCGCCUUAAAUUAAUUAAUGAUAUUAUCUUAAUUAACUCUACAAAUAAACCCUACCCUAGAAAAGGGUUUU
rnacentral:rRNA from 1 species